UAGAGAAUAUUGCACAAUGGGGGAAACCCUGAUGCAGCAACGCCGCGUGAGUGAUGACGGCCUUCGGGUUGUAAAGCACUUUUUGGAAGGAUUAGGAAGGAAUGUACUUCCAGAAUAAGUCUCGGCUAACUACGUGCCAGCAGCCGCGGUAACACGUAGGAGGCAAACGUUAUCCGGAUUUACUGGGCGUAAAGCGCGUGUAGGUGGUUCUGUAAGUAGGGCGUGAAAGCUCCUGGCUCAACUGGGAGAGGCCGUUCUAAACUACAGAACUAGAGGAUGGUAGAGGGAGGUGGAAUGCGAGGUGUAGCGGUGGAAUGCGCAGAUAUCUGGAGGAACACCAGUGGCGAAGGCGGCCUCCUGGACCAUUCCUGACACUCAGACGCGAAAGCUAGGGUAGCAAACAGGAUUAGAGACCCUGGUUC
rnacentral:rRNA from 1 species